CCUCCCGCACCUUAGGCAGCCAGUGUUCCCAGUACUGCAGCCACAGCUGAGUGGAAAACUGUUUACCAGACUUUGAUGAUGUCCACAAAACAACCACAGCCCUGGGCAUGUUGGGUGCUCUUUGUAAAUUAACUCACAUAAUCCUCACGACCAACUUCUAAGGUGGGCACUGUUGCCUUCAUCUCACCACAUUGGACGGCACACUCACUGAGUUCCUAACCUCCUCUUCUCUAUUGGUUUAUUCUCAGGCCGGGAAAGAGGCAUAAACUUGGAGAACCCAAGACCCCAGCCCGGCGUGCAGCCCCAGCAGCCAGACCAGCCUUGGGCAACAGCGUGGCGUUCAGCUGUCUGCGUCUUCAGUGCUCCUAUUCCAUUGCAUCUGAGUGAGCGAUUUGGGAGAAACAACAGGCAAAUGAUGAAAUAUACAAAUCUUCACUGUGCAAUUUUGAUCAGUUGCUUCUCCUAUGCAACCCUCACCCCAACAGAGACACAGCCUCUCGUCGGAACGCUUCUGCACACCCUUCUCAGCAACCCCCACCCUCUGCCCCCCACUCCCCACCAGAGCAACCAACAUCCUGAUGUCUCCCGUCAGAGUUGAGGAACAGAGAAGAUCUCCACUUGCCAACGAACACAGCACUAGUGAAGCCAAUUAUUGCGACAUCCACUGAUAAAGUUCAGGGGGAAUUAAAUUUUUUGGUCCAUGGGUGCAAAUCGCCUCCAGGCACCUUUACUGUCUCAGUGCUCUCCUCAGGAGGCUGCUGUUGGUGGCCAGGGAUUUUGCCAUGGCAGAGUUCUCAC
rnacentral:lncRNA from 1 species